CACAAUUUAGCUUAUGCCAAGCUUUUUAAAAUGAACAGUUUUUUAUUUUUUGUUAAAAAAAAAUCUGAAAUGUCACAAAAUUAGAGUUUUUAGUACUGCCAAGUCAAUUUGUCACAUUUGGACUGUACAUGGACAGCGUUUUUGUGCUUAACUUCACUGACACUCCUGCUAGUACAUUAGAUGUCAAUCUUUUUGUCUGAUGCUCUGGUUCUUUAGAGCUCAGAAUGUCAUCACAUCAUAAACAGCUAGGAUCAAUUAAAUGUGAGCCAAAAUGCAAAAGAAAUAAGCUUUAAUAAAUGAUUUUACAAGCUAUUGUGCUUGUUCAUCCCAUAAGUUUCUCUUUACAAGAGCACAUUGCACCUGGGGUCUUGAGGAAGUGGAGUGAUUUUCUGUCCUGCAAUCCAGGCAACAGCAACAGAGCUGGUGAGUACAUGCCUAAGUUUCCAUUUGCUACAAAGUAACUUAAUCCACAAGUGGUAGUGAUAUAGGCAACAAUGUCAAACACUAACGUGACUUUAUCUUAUUUUUGUUCAAAGGUGUGUCCGCUGCAUAGAUCGGGGAACAUGGAAGCUGAAUAUGGACCGAAAUAACCAAACAAAUAUUCCUGCAGAUGCCUCUUUCACCUUGUCAAAUGUUACC